CGAUGGAAGCCAACAGGAAGCUCGAGAGCCCCAGAGGGCCCAUGGAGGCCAGCCUCCAAGGAAGGGCAAAGGGUAGUAAGAAGGAGGAAAGGCUUCUCCUCUACCCCCUUAAGGACACAGGAGCCUUCCUAGAAAAGAAAUGAAGAGCCAAAGAAGCGGAUUGGCCUGAGAGUUUUAUACCAGUUCCACAAAGAACAAUAGAGUGUGGAGAUGUGCCAAGACGAAGGGAGAAGAGGUCUGGGCUGGGGCAGUAAAUACUGGGAUAUUGGCUAAGAACACAUAGGAGGGAAACUAAUGGCACCUAAGGGUGUUUUUGUAGGUUGGCUGGUACAGCUUCAACUCAGGUGGUGGAGAGGCCCCGUUCUCCUGGGAAGUGUGUCCUACUUUCAAGGUCGAAAGGGAAGAGAAGGGAGUUCUUCCUGCUGCUGCUUCUAUUUCUCAAGUGCUUUCUUGCUCGGAACAAUCAAUGUGUCAAAGUGGCACAUUUCGGGGGAGCCUGUUCCGAUCCUCUUCAGUGGGGAAGUGCCAGGCAUGGAGCUGGAGGGACACGGUGCCCUUCUUCGUUGCCCCACAACAUGCGUGUCCCAUGCCCCCGCUCCGUUCUCCAGUCCCGCCUCUCCUGCUGGACUCGGAUCGUUUCACUGCUGGACUCUCCAGCAAGUCUGUCGGCUUCAUCUCUCUACCCCGGCCCUGUCACAGCGACAGGCACAUGACAGGAACUUGGUUAUUCACUGGAAGAAGACUUCACGCGAGUUUCCCAUAAAACCUCGAGUCUUAUGUUUUGGCAACACAAGAGAGACAGAGAGAAGGUUGGAUCUGCCUGCUUUGAGUCCUCUGCCAAAAGCCGACUCCGAGCUCUCUGGAGAAGCAACGCUUUCAAAGCCAGCGAAGUGCCAGGCGCCGGAGUCCCAAAGCGAAGCGGCGGGCUCGCGAAGAACGCGUUCACACAAACUACCCCCGGUGGUGGGUGGGGAGGUGGUUCUGCUUUAACAUCCUAUUAGCACAUGAUCUUCAGCUUCCCAAGCUUCCCUGGGUUCCAAACCUACAGGUGGUGAUCGUGGGUGGGAAGGAGGUUGGGUAAGAUGCUCCUCAGUUGGGAGGCAAAGCUGUUGGCGCCUCCUGGCUUGAUGAUUUUGCAAUUGGCUCUUGCUGGCACUACCCCUGCUGUUUCCUCCCUGGGAGACGCAGGCAUGCCUUGGGACUGACUGCAUGCCCGGAGCGAAAGCCAUGCGGAGCAGGAUCCACCCUAGGGGAUUAGAAUCACGGAUUUAAGCAUCUGCCCUCAGAGAACUGCAUGCUCUUUGGUGUGGGGGGGGGGGGGGGGAGUCCUGUCUCUUGUCCAGGUAACCCAGACCCCCCAUCAAGUGUCUAAUGCAGAGUUGGUGCCACCCCAUGAAAUGGAAACACUGGGGAGACUUGAGGACAGAGAUUUGGUAGUGAAGGGCUAAAUCCUAAAACCCACACGCCUCUUAGCGCUGCGAUGUCCCACCGUCUCUCAGAAGGAGGUGUUUCUGUUCCCGCCCUGUGGCUGAUGUGAUGAUCCAGAAAGACAUGGUGCUAGAAAUUCCAUGUGGCGUCAACUGCAAAGAUGGAACCCAGCUUAAUAUUGUAGAAGCCAUUGGCUUGUUGUAUGACGUUGGGCAAACUGAACCACGGCUGUGAACCCCAGCAGUCCAAUGAGGAGGUUGGAAACUGACAUAUCAGGUCCUUUACUUUUUUUGAAAUUCCUGGAAUUUCCUCCGCUACCAAACGCCUCAACUUUCCUUUUUGGCGGGGGGAAUAAGCCAAUCCGUGAAACAGCCCCCUGAAAAGGGUGGGGUGGGAGGCACUGUGCGGAAUUAAGAUCUUAACCAGUUUGGCCACUGCCCAAAGGAAAAACAGCACUGAAUUCUUUAGCUUCUCCGAGAACGUGCAGUGUGGAAAAUCAUCUUCCUUCGUGCAUUUUUGAAAAAAGAGUAAGGUAGAAGAGCCAUUGCAUUCUGUGCAUAACUUCUCUACUUACAGACAGAAUUUCUAAUGCAUUUUUUUUUUUUCUUUCCUGGAGGUGUAAAGGAGAAUCCCCACAGCUGGAAGAGUGUGGAAGUCAGGGGCUGUGCAGGAAUGCAGGCGUGAUGGCGAGACUGCACUUAAUUCAUUAAAAUGUGUGAUUUAUGAAAACCAUUUUGCCAAAAGUGAGCUUUGUGGGAAGGAAAAGGCAGUGGGGAUAUGCAUGUGGGGGGGGAAUGAGAGGAGUGAGAAGUGCCAAGAGAGAAGGAAGUCUUAUUUGUUGCUAAAGGUUGAAUCCCACAUAAGAACGCUUGGUGAGCCAAAGCAAGGAAAUUAAAAUGCAAAUCGGGGGAGUGGAAAUCUAUGAGGCACAGAUAUUAUGUACUGACAGCGCUACUGGGCUGCUCUGACACUAAUCGUGAAUAUUCUCCAAUGACCGAAAGUUUCAGGAAGCUUCUUUGGAGGUACCCUCCUUUCUCAUUCUUUUAUCCUUUCUCAAAUGAAAUGGCA